rnacentral:rRNA from 1 species
ACGAACGCUGGCGGCGUGCUUAACACCUGCCAGUCGAACGGAAAGGCCCCGCUUUUGUGGGGUGCUCGCGUGGCGAACGGGUGAGUAACACGUGAGUAACCUGCCCUUGACUUUGGGAUAACUUCAGGAAACUGGGGCUAAUACCGGAUAGGAGCUCCUGCUGCAUGGUGGGGGUUGGAAAGUUUCGGCGGUUGGGGAUGGACUCGCGGCUUAUCAGCUUGUUGGUGGGGUAGUGGCUUACCAAGGCUUUGACGGGUAGCCGGCCUGAGAGGGUGACCGGCCACAUUGGGACUGAGAUACGGCCCAGACUCCUACGGGAGGCAGCAGUGGGGAAUAUUGCACAAUGGGCGGAAGCCUGAUGCAGCAACGCCGCGUGCGGGAUGACGGCCUUCGGGUUGUAAACCGCUUUCGCCUGUGACGAAGCGUGAGUGACGGUAAUGGGUAAAGAAGCACCGGCUAACUACGUG